UACGGGGGGAGCAAGCGUUGUUCGGAAUCACUGGGCGUAAAGGGAGUCUAGGCGGUUUGGUAAGUGGGAUGUGAAAUCCCCGGGCUCACCCCGGGACCUGCAUCCCAAACUGCUGAGCUUGAGUACAGGAGAGGGUGGGGGAAUUCCAGGUGUAGCGGUGAAAUGCGUAGAUAUCUGGAGGAACACCGGUGGCGAAGGCGCCCACCUGGCCUGCUACUGACGGCUGAAGCUCGAAAGCUAGGGGAGCAAACGGG
rnacentral:rRNA from 1 species